AAAAUUUAAAAAUAUACUAAAAUAGAAAUAUUAAUAAAAUAUUAAAAUAAAAAUCUUAUUUAAAUCCUAAAAAAUCCUAACCAAAUCUUAAAUAAAUUCUAAUCAAAUCUUAAAAAAUCCUAAUCAAAUCUUAAUCAAAUCCUAAAUAAACCUUAACCAAAUCCUAGUCAAAUCCUAAGCAAAUCUUAAACAAAUCCUAAUCAAAUCCUAAAUAAAUCCUAAUCAAAUCUUAAUUAAAUCUUUACCAAAUCCUAAAUAAAUCUUAGUCAAAUCCUAAAUACUACAAUUCAAUUAUAAUACCAAUAUCUCCUCAAUACAUACAUUCAGAAGUAGAAGAUAUGCAAAUUGAU
rnacentral:lncRNA from 1 species